rnacentral:rRNA from 1 species
UUUCGCAAUGCCCGAAAGGGUGACGAAGCGACGCCGCGUGAGCGAAGAAGGCCCUAGGGUUGUAAAGCUCUGUCAGGGGUUAUGAAACGCAGACUAGUUAAUACCUGGUUUGUUUGACGAAGGCCCCAAAGGAAGCCACGGCUAACUCUGUGCCAGCAGCCGCGGUAAUACAGAGGUGGCAAGCGUUGUUCGGUAUUAUUGGGCGUAAAGAGCACGUAGGUGGUUUUGUAAGUCAGAUGUGAAGGCCUUCUGUUCAAAGGAAGAACGGCAUCUGAAACUGCAGAUCUUGAGUGUAGGAGGGGAGAGUGGAACUUCUGGUGGAGCGGUGAAAUGCGUAGAUAUCAGAAGGAACGUCGGCGGCGAAAGCGACUCUCUGGCCUAUUACUGACACUGAGGUGCGAAAGUUAGGGGAGCAAACGGGGUUAGAUACCCCGGUAGUCCUAACCGUAAACGAUGGGCACUAAGUAGAGGGGUUUUA